rnacentral:rRNA from 1 species
GGGUUGUGAGGUUAAGCGACUAAGCGUACACGGUGGAUGCCCUGGCAGUCAGAGGCGAUGAAGGACGUGCUAAUCUGCGAUAAGCGUCGGUAAGGUGAUAUGAACCGUUAUAACCGGCGAUUUCCGAAUGGGGAAACCCAGUGUGAUUCGUCACACUAUCAUUAACUGAAUCCAUAGGUUAAUGAGGCGAACCGGGGGAACUGAAACAUCUAAGUACCCCGAGGAAAAGAAAUCAACCGAGAUUCCCCCAGUAGCGGCGAGCGAACGGGGAGCAGCCCAGAGCCUGAAUCAGUGUGUGUGUUAGUGGAAGCGUCUGGAAAGGCGUGCGAUACAGGGUGACAGCCCCGUACACAAAAAUGCACAUACUGUGAGCUCGAUGAGUAGGGCGGGACACGUGGUAUCCUGUCUGAAUAUGGGGGGACCAUCCUCCAAGGCUAAAUACUCCUGACUGACCGAUAGUGAACCAGUACCGUGAGGGAAAGGCGAAAAGAACCCCGGCGAGGGGAGUGAAAAAGAACCUGAAACCGUGUACGUACAAGCAGUGGGAGCACAGAGCAAUCUGUGUGACUGCGUACCUUUUGUAUAAUGGGUCAGCGACUUAUAUUCUGUAGCAAGGUUAACCGAAUAGGGGAGCCGAAGGGAAACCGAGUCUUAACUGGGCGUUAAGUUGCAGGGUAUAGACCCGAAACCCGGUGAUCUAGCCAUGGGCAGGUUGAAGGUUGGGUAACACUAACUGGAGGACCGAACCGACUAAUGUUGAAAAAUUAGCGGAUGACUUGUGGCUGGGGGUGAAAGGCCAAUCAAACCGGGAGAUAGCUGGUUCUCCCCGAAAGCUAUUUAGGUAGCGCCUCGUG